rnacentral:tRNA from 1 species
GCCUCGGUGGCUCUGAGGCGAGAGCGCCGGCCUACGGAUCCCCUAGGUGGCGGGUUCGAAUCCCGACCGAGGUG